ACAGCGGCGAGCAAAACAAUUAAGGUCAUGUAUGAAUACUGUAGCAGCUAGUCUGCUAAGUAGCUGGUAGUCGUUUUGAAAAGUGAGUUGAGAGAUUUAAUAAAUAUGAGCAAAAUAAUUUGUCGUCGAGUUUUUGCGAAUGAAGUAGUAACACCUCACUGACACAGCAGGUUUCUCCCUUCCCGCUCACUCCAUCUCCACUAUGGUGCGUCACAGCAAGCUUCAGAAACAGGUGUUAUCUCUGUACCGUCAGUUCCUGCGUGCUGGACAGGACAAACCCGGUUUUUUACCCAGAAUACGGGAAGAAUUUCGCACAAACGCCACCAUCCAAAAGACAGAUGUGAUGCAUAUAGAAUAUUUAUGUCGACGAGCCCAGAGGCAACUGGAGCAACUUCGAGAUGUGAACACCAAACAGCUGGGUUUCUUCAGCAAGACCAAGGAGGAUAGCUGAUAUAUUUAUAUGUUUCCAAUAUAUAUAUCCUGACCAUCACACCAAUAUGUGGGUCUUCCCCAAACUGUUGCCACAAAGUUGGAAGCACACAAUUGUAUAGAAAGUCUCUGUAUGCUGUAGCAUUACAAUUUUACAUUCACUGGAAUUAAGAGGCCCAAACCUGUUCCAGCUUGACUACGCCCCUGUGCACAAACCGAGCUCCAUGAAGACAUGGCUUGCCAAGGUUGAUGUGGAGGAACUCGAGUGGCCUGCGCAGAGCCCUGACCUCAACCUCACUGACGACAUUUGGGAUGAAUUGGAAUGCUGACUGCGCCCCAGGUUGUCUCGUCUGACAUCAGUGCCUGACCUCACUACUGCUUUUGUGGCUGAAUGGACAAAUCCCCACAGCCACGCUCCAAAAUCUAGGGGAAAGCCUUCCUAGGAGAGUGGAGGAUAUUACAACAGCAAAGGGGGACUAAAUCCGGAAUGGGAUGUUCAAAAAGCACACAUGAACAUGAUGGUCAGGUGUCCACAAACUUUUGGCUAUAUAGUGUAGAUUUAAGAAGCUGAUGGACAAACAGGGUUUCUUGAGGUGCCAAAAACACUGCACCAUAAUGCUGAUCAAUCUUACAAAUGAAAACAGUGUUUAGCAAUUGUCCUGAUGUCUUUAACAGGUUAAUGUACAUAGAGUUGUCAGUUUAUCAGGUCCACCUACCGUAUAGAUCAUACACUUACUUCCUUCAGCCCAUUGGUUGUUAUGCACAAAAGUAUUAGCCCCCCUUUAUUCUGUCUAUUAAUUGAAAGGGCGCACCACUGAGCAGAUGUUAUUUGGAUGGUGGUUUAUUUUCAGUCCAGCAGUGAACUGACAUAGUGUGUAUGUGGUGCUAGUACGAGUGUACAGUCAGUCAUUUUAAACCUAUAAAUUGACCUGUUAGCAACUGUACCUGAUAAACUAGCAGCUUGGUGUAUGUCUGCAUAACACUCCAACUCAUACGGAUCUCUGUUACCCUGGAAGUAUUUUCCUUUGUGUGGUCAUGUAGUAAAAUGUGGCUGAAUAAAGGUUGGAGUAUGUUGCUAUAUUUUAAUACUGACGUUUGACCAGCAACUUCAGAAAAGAUAAAUAGAAAUAUAAGAGAUACCAGUGAUCCUGACUCCUUCUGCUCUCCGGACCUGCCUGAUCCAUCCUGAUAUCCUACUUCUGGUUGGAGUUCUCACUGGUUGGAGAUCGGUCUAUGCUGCUGGGGAUGGCCCCACAUGGACAGCCUGAAGAUCAUUGGGAUUGCUGGGGAUGGUGUCGCUUGGGGGCCGUGGAGAUGGCUUGGGGAUCUCAUAUGGGGAAUUGUACUGUGAUGGCUUGGGACUGCGAUUGUCACGAGCAGCGGCACUGUUGUUUACAUUGCUAGGAGGCAGCAGGAGAUCUGACACACCCACACAGUACUGAGCAGUGCACUGGUCGAGCUGAGCCACAAGGGGGCGCUGAUGACUGACAGCCGCCAUUAAAACUCGCCAACAGAGAAAGCAGUCAGUGUAAACAGGAAGUGAAAUAGGAGGCGGAAAAAAUGGCGGAGUCGAGCAAGAGCAGCUCGAGCAGCGAGAUGACAGACGCUCAGUUAAUUCAGCAGUUAGCUCUGCUUGGCUGGCUGAAGACUGACAGUGUGGAGUGUAAACAGUUCCUCACAGCUGUAACUGGCAUGCAGGUGGCCCGAGAAGUCCUUAAUAGAUUAUCAGGUCAAGGAAAAGUGGAUGCUUACAGGAAUGAAUGCAUCCAGAGUGUGGUGGAUUUUGUAAGGAGGAACCCUAGAGCCUCAGAGCGGGAGCUGAACGCUGAGGUGGAGAAGAACGUGCGUCUGUUCGCCUCUAGAGUGCAGGCUUUAGACUCCUCACCUCUCCUCUGAACGCAGAGACACUGUAACAUCUGUCUCUCCUCCUCAUCCUGCCUUACGCUUGUUAGAUUUGACAUUUUUACACGAUUUUACUAACUUUAUAUGAUUUAUGUAUUUUUUUAUGUAUGAAUUAAGAUUUCUACUUGAAUGUCAUUUUUAAUCACUUCAUUGGUUUAGGCUUGAUAAUAUAAUUGCUACAUUUACACACACAUUCACACAAACAGUGAACUGAAUAAAGUCUGUUGUAAUGUUACUUGCACUUAAAGCUUACUUUCUAUGUACUUGCAUGGCUUUUCACAAUUUAUUUUACUUAAAAGAUUAAUUAUGGAUAUUUAUAUUAAAAUUAUACGACAGUA